rnacentral:rRNA from 1 species
UGUUUCGGCUAGGGGGCCAUCCCGGCUUACCAACCCGAUGCAAACUGCGAAUACCGGAGAAUGUUAUCACGGGAGACACACGGCGGGUGCUAACGUCCGUCGUGAAGAGGGAAACAACCCAGACCGCCAGCUAAGGUCCCAAAGUCAUGGUUAAGUGGGAAACGAUGUGGGAAGGCCCAGACAGCCAGGAUGUUGGCUUAGAAGCAGCCAUCAUUUAAAGAAAGCGUAAUAGCUCACUGGUCGAGUCGGCCUGCGCGGAAGAUGUAACGGGGCUAAACCAUGCACCGAAGCUGCGGCAGCGACACUCAGGUGUUGUUGGGUAGGGGAGCGUUCUGUAAGCCUGUGAAGGUGGCCUGUGAGGGUUGCUGGAGGUAUCAGAAGUGCGAAUGCUGACAUAAGUAACGAUAAAGCGGGUGAAAAGCCCGCUCGCCGGAAGACCAAGGGUUCCUGUCCAACGUUAAUCGGGGCAGGGUGAGUCGACCCCUAAGGCGAGGCCGAAAGGCGUAGUCGAUGGGAAACGGGUUAAUAUUCCCGUACUUGGUGUUACUGCGAAGGGGGGACGGAGAAGGCUAUGUUGGCCGGGCGACGGUUGUCCCGGUUUAAGCGUGUAGGUGUGUGUUCCAGGUAAAUCCGGUUCACUUUAACACUG